rnacentral:lncRNA from 1 species
AUUACAUAAGUAUGUAUUGGUUUCUAACUAAUUAAAAUAUUUUGAAUUUUUUUUUUUUAAAUAAGGAAUUAUGAUCAUUUCAAACUUCAGUGCAUGUCUCAUAUUGAGUACAUUAUUAUUAAUGACUAUUCAUGCAAAAGGACAAUCUUGCUCAACAAAGCUUCUAGGAAAAGGAAUGAAAGCAACAUUCUGCAUUCCAAAAAUAUCCCUUGCAUUGCUUGCUCAGGAGAUUUGGCUUGCUAUUGUGGGUGGGUCUUAUCAUCCACCAGUAUAAAUUCUGGACCUAUUCCAUUUGCCUUAAAGAGCAUAUAGUUCAAGGAUCUCAUCUUCCUAACAUUGUCCAUUCAAAGUGCCUCCCUCAAAGAUAUGGAGAGAAAUCUUCAAGAUCUGUGCAGUCAUUGAUAAUGAUCAUCUUGCCCAUAUUAAUAGAUCUUCACUUUUAAAAUGAUAGCCAUCAAACAUUAAAGAAAUUCGAUAUCUUAUACUAUGUUCUCU